GACGAACGCUGGCGGCGUGCUUAACACAUGCAAGUCGAACGGUGAAGCGCCUUCCUUUUUGGUGGGUGUGGAUGAGUGGCGAACGGGUGAGUAACACGUGAGUAACCUGCCCCCUUCUUCUGGAUAACCGCAUGAAAGUGUGGCUAAUACGGGAUAUUCUGGGUCUGUCGCAUGAUGGGUCUGGGAAAGCUAUUGUUUCGGUGGGGGAUGGGCUCGCGGCCUAUCAGCUUGUUGGUGGGGUGACGGCCUACCAAGGCGGUGGCGGGUAGCCGGCCUGAGAGGUCGGCCGCUCUCGCUGGGACAGACAGUCCAGCCACACACGUGCGGGAGGCGUCGGGGGUAAUGAUCGAUGGGCGGGCGCAUGCCUGAGGCAGCGCGCGCGGGUGAGGAAUGCAUGCCUUUUGGUAGUGACCCUUUUUGGCAAGGAAAGGAAGCCUGCUUCGUUUGUGGUGGUGUUGAGGUUAGCAGGAUAAGAGCCCCCGGCUACUUACUU
rnacentral:rRNA from 1 species